UGAAGCAGGAUGACCUGGGCAUGCGUAUCUGCAAAGGACAAGGUGAGAAUUAGCCAAAUAGUGGUUGGUUGGAAGAGGAAUCUGCAAACAAUAUCAGACAUGCCACAGUUACUCACAGAAAUUAAGAAGAAAACGAGAACACUCUAAAGAAAGGAUUAAAGAACUGAUUAGGAGCUAAAAGAGAAAAGUUUGGUCAACACAAUAAUAAGAAGAAAAAAGUUCAGAUUUCAGAGAAAAUGCAGACAAUUAGUAUGUCCCACCAGGCAGCUGGUCUGAGCAAAACCAGCACGGUGUAAAGCAGCAGCAGUGGGUCCGUCCUGCAAGACUUUAAUGCACACCGGCUCCUGAAUUCACAUAAUGGGCAACCUUAAAAAUGCAGUCUGUCUGAUUCUCUACAGUAUGGAUAAUUAUUCUAAGGAAACCUCUGGGAGAGGAAUAUUUUGAAGUUAAAACAAGAUUAGGACAUCUGGAAAAUAAUCUGUUCAUAAACACAUAGUGAGAGAAACAUCAUAGUACAAAACAUCCCCUAGACAGACAGCACGGUCUUAAAAGAAUCAAGAACAAGACAAGAGGAAAAACGACAGCGGAGAGGAAUCCAUUGGUAUGGUGGGUGACCCUGGACAGAACAGGGUCAGAUCAUCCCAAACAGCCUUUGGGACCACAUUUAGUUAUGUCAGCAGAAGUAAAACCUGUCAACAUGUAACUCUGAAAAAUGAGAUCUUUUAUUUACCCAGAGCCAGCCUGUGUUAGCAGUGGAGUUUCAAGCUUUCUCAAAUUAUAUGCCAGCCUGCCUCAGCCCUGACCUGAAAGAAUCAGCUUCGGAGGUGAAGAUGGUGUUUAUUCACCAGGGUACCGCUACAAGGCUUUGCGCCGAGGCUGUGACCGACAAACCAGCGCUGGUGCUGGCGGUGUUUGUCACGGAGCCGGCUGCCUGCGGGGAGCAGGACUGAGCCCAGCACCUCAUUCCACAGAGGUCAGAGAGGAGCUGACAAGUGGUAAUAACUUUCGGUCCCUACAGAUGUGUGCCAUGGUUGAGCCAGUAACCUGCUGCUUUCUGUGUAAGGCUCAAUAUCUUAUUAUGGGUCCUUUUGCCGUCCCAUUUUAGCCAAUCUUAAAGUUUUCUAAAUGAACAUUAGAAUCACAGAAUCAUUUCAGAGACCUUCAGGAUCACCAAGUCCAACCAUAACCUAACUCUAGCACUAAUCCAUGUCCCUAAGAACCUCGUCUAAAUGCCUUUUAAACCCCUCCAGGGAUGGUGACUCCACCGCUGCCCUGGGCAGCCUGUUCCAAUGCCCCGCAGCCCUUUCCAUGAAGAAUUUUUUCCUUCAUUGUAUACCAUACUCAAUAAUGUCUCAUUUGAAAUGCUGCACUUCUGGGUUGUUUGUGUUCCUCGUUUUUUCUCAUUUAGCACACAAGAUCUAUGAUCUCUGUACUUCCCUCAGCCAUAAACCCUUAGCAGAGAGAAAGGACUCAAGAGCUUGCACUUAACCUGCAAAGCCCUAGUGCAAUGUGUCAUGGUAGGUUUAAGUUUAGCACUGAAAGAGGCGCACUUUAGCAUAAUUACCCUGCCUAUAGCAGCACAAUAAACUAUGGAAUUAUUGCUGCACUGUGAGUGCAUCCUAAGGGAGAAGUAAAUACCCUGUGGUCUGGAUCUGAUAAACUACUAACUGUAGCAGAAUGUAAUUAGUCCUUUCAAUAACAAAUGUUACUAAUGGUGACACUUCAUCUGUUUCAUGCACAUAUAAAUGCAUAACAGAGGCAGAAUUUUCAUAGUUCUUUAGCUUCCCCCCCUUCAUCUUGCACUUUGUCAUCAGAAGGGUUAGGGUUGAGUUCUUUUUAAUGAAAAAGAAAUUAUUUUUCACUUUUUAUUGGACUAAUUGAAUUUGCAGAAAGACUCCAAUACAUUUUUUGUUCUUGAUAUAUUAUGAAGUAAAGUCAUACAGCAGAAUGGAUGAAAAGACAUUCGAGUAUUUGAAAUAUGAUCAUAAAAGCCAGCCUUUCAUGCACUUAAUUAAACUGCUGUCUUUAAUUUUGAAUGCGUUAUUUCCACAAUGGACUGAUAAUGUCUUAUGCACUGCCCUUCUUAUCACUCUCUGAAGUCAGUGAUAUUAAAAUCUGCCUUUUGAAAUUAAGAAGCCAACAGCAUUAUGAAUGUACUGUUAUUUUGUCAAACGCAGAUAUGGCUGCAUUUUCUCUGCCAUGCUAAUGUUUCACUGUCUUUGUGUGGCUUAUGGGCCAGUCAACUAUUAUGCACAGAUAGAGAAAAAGGAAAUUGCUUCUGUCCAUUUCAAUGACUUAUUCUCUGCUUGGUUUAUUUAUAAUGAUUUCAACAAAAUCUUUUGGUGAUCUAUGAAGACCUCCAAAAGAAAAAUAAGCAAAUGUCAAGGUCAUAAACUGAAGCUUGUUAACACUUAUGUCAUAAAAAAUACAACGAAAAAUAAAUCAAGGAAAAAUGGUCACAACAUGUCCAUUGGGAAUAUAUGACUUUUAUAAAUUUGACAGUACUAUGCCUUUGAAAUAAUCCCCAAAUCCCAUGAUCUCCAGACAGCUUUGGUUUCAAAAUGAAAGAUUUCCAUAGCAUAUUUUAAUUCUGAAAUAAAACUUCUCUUCAUUUGUAUAUUAAAACCUUGCAGCUGAAAGCAGAGUUAAUGUGCAAACCAAGACAUAAGGGGUUCUGUCCGACAGCCCCUGGGAACAGCUUUUCAAAGAGCUCAGCUCCCAUUUUUGUCACUGAGCUGAACUGGCCAUUCCUCUGGAGGCUGAACACUUUAAACACUUACGUGCCCUUAGAGCCAUUUGGGAUAGAGAGAAUUUCAAAUUCCUGCUAAGGCUCCCACAAGUGGCGUAGCUGUGAAUAUACUAUGACAAACAUAUGAAUGAAACAACAUUAUUCACGUGUGUAAAUGUUACUAAACUGGAGACUGUACAAUGGCUAAUUUCAUACUGAAAGUGAAGCUUGUUAUGUAAUCUUGAUUUUAAUGAUCUAGGCCAGGACUAAGAACCUUAACAAGUGAUCUUCAAUGACAGCAAAAUGCAAGUAAGAGCCUUCGAGUUAGUUAAGGUUUGUGGGACUGUGAUUUUGAUUAGCAACACUAAAAAAGUACAGAUUCAUCUUAGAACAUUCUGCAAUCAAAAAUGUAUGACACACGUCUUUGAAUUGGAUCAGGAUGGGUAAUGUCUUUGGUUUUUGGCAUUAGACUGCAUACAAAGCCUCUAAUAGUAGUCUUGAGUUAGGCAAUAAGCUGCUGUAUACUUGGAUUUUAAGGAAAAUGCAGAAUCAUAUUAGAAUUAUUAGUGUAAAGUCUUAAAUUAUAAGCCCCCUGUAGAAACACACGGCCAAGAAAUUUGAAAAUUGGCAUUCAGUUUAGGUCUAAAAAGGUCCCAUAGGAACCAUGAUGGCAUUUAGACAUCUAACUACUCAAAUGAGACUGCCAAUCAGGUAGCUAUUUUCUUAAAAGGUACCAAUUACACACAGUGAUGGCCAUGGACUAAGAUGAUAUUUCUCUUAAGUAUCAAGACUCGCAUAAAAUGGCAUGUCUAAAAAGCAAUCAUAGGGUUGAAUGGCUGAUGAUGCAUUUAAUCUGAGCAUAACACUUUUAUGGACAUGAAGAGCUAUCUCAUGUUCCACUUUCUAGUUUUCCCACAGAAAUGUGAUGUUGUUGUGUACAGAUUUCUAAUAUGGCUGAACUCCUCUCCAUGAAAUUAAAGACAGUGUCUGGACUGCUUUGAAACUAAAUUAAGAUUGGAUUCUGUCAAUAUUUAUCGAAUUUCCAAAGAAGAAAACCCAACCAUUCUAGAGAAUCCAGCUGCCACACGGGUCUCAGCCGCAGUAUUGCUGGAAGCCAGAACAGAUUUUAGGAAGAAUGGAGCAUGUACUGUCACUUUUCACAUGCUCGUUAUAAAUGGCAAGAAGACUUCUGUACUCAUUUCUUCUAAUUAAAUUAAACUUCCAGCACCAUCAAAUUAAUACAUAUUAUCUAUGCCCUUCUAUGCCAUGAUGCAGAAAUUACAAGGCUAUUUAAUUCCUAGAGCAAGCACUAGGAUAUCCAUUGCCAUACAGAUUUCCUCUCAAGCUGACAGAGAGGAAUUUAAUUUAUUUUAAAUUUUACUAGAAUAUGUAUGGUUUACCAUUUAGCAGCAGUUUUUAUUCCACUUGCACAUUCACUUAUGUAACACAUAAAGCUCAAUUCCAACUUUUUUUUUUCUCCCUCUUGCACUCUUUUUGCUGGCUAACAAAGAUACACAGAUACAAAAUGAGUGACCAAUUAUAGUCAGAACUAUUUUUCUUCAUAUUUGAGCAGGAUAAAAAGCCUUUCAGAAUGUGGGUUUGCUAAUUUCUGGCAUAAUUACCUUUCCUCUGAACCAUCAUGAAUAAAGCCUUAUCUCUUAAAAUUUCUAUAAAGUCCAUUUGAACCACAGACAUAUCAAGGUCAGUUUGGAACUGCAAUGAUGCCAACAGAAUUUCCUCUAUCAUACUCUCAUGUAACUUUACUUUAAAAUGUGCCCAUGAUCAAUUUGGAUAAGGACUUUUCACCAGUUUCUCUGUUUCCAGCUUCAUAGUUGCCCGAAGGAGAAUACAGCAAGAAAGAAGGAAAAUAAAGAGUAAAAAGAGCAUUGUAGAAGUUCCCAAAUUGUUUGGAGGGAGCUGUGCAGCCAGACUGCUGUACAUUGUACAUGUUAUCUCUUGAAAUUACUACACUUUAAAUAUGGACUGUGAGAAAUAAUGUUUUGUGCUUUCUAAUGAUACUGUUAUGAAAAUCUGAACACCAAUUUCUGUCUCCUCCCUCAUGUUUUUUGUUGGUUUUAUUUUUUUUCUCCCUCCAUAUGCUAUUUUCCUAAUCAGAAAUUGUGCACACAAGGUGAUUUGGCAGCAGGUCCCCUCCCUGCAGGCAGAAAUCGCAUCCAGACGUGUAUUCCAGGCUGAACUGUGGUGAUGGUUCAACUAAAGUAAAUGGAACCAGUGGAGGAGGAAGAUACCAAGAUUUGGGUGUGCUGCUCAGAAUCUGACAUAUUUGAAAACUUGGCUCGUAAAUACCACAUGCUGACAUUUGGUAUAAAAGAGGUCUCAAAUUUCCCAUGAGCUGAAAUUUCCUGUGCAUUUGCUGUAUGUUCUGGCAUAUAGAUAUUUUUCAAAAUUUAUAGAAUAGUCUUUAAAAGUUGCAAUCCUUCAUUCAUUCACUCAAAUAAUAUAUGCAGAUCCUAUUUUUGAGUAAUUACAUUUUAAAAGAGCACAGCUCUUUCAGCAUAUCAAAUUGCUACUGACAUAUGCCAUCCGUCUUAAAUACUGUUUUCACUAUUCUAAUUUCUUUUUCUAAUCGUGAAUCCGUGAUGACAAAUUAAAACAAUAUUUUAUGUGCAAUUCAUAUUUUACUGAAAUUUAAAAUGGCAAGAAAAGGAUGAGUAUUCCAUUUAUUUGCUCUUCUCAAUUAAUAGAGUAAUUAAGAUAAGGGGUAUAAAACUGGCUUAAUUGGGUUGCCAUAGCAACUAAUUGUCUGGUUUCUUCAAAAAUAGCAUGUUUUAGGUGGAAUCAAUCUGUGGUAAUUUAAUUAUGUACAUCAUGGAGCAAGAAGACAGGUUAGAUACAUGUAAGAAAAAGUUCUAAUUGCAAAUUGUUACAUAUCUCUGUUACUCCAGUUUUUAGUAGAUGUCUGUUACUGCUCAUUAUGCAUAGUACAGAAAGGGAGCUUUUUUUUUUAAUGAUUAGAAGUAUCGAGACUUGCACAAUAAAUGAGAUUCAGAAUUGUUUGGGUGUAGUUCAGCUGGUCCUUAGAAAUGAGGGAAAAGGCGAAAAUUAGGCCCUGACUCACUUCUUCCUCAUUUUGCUUUGCACGUGCAACAAGGAAACUGAAAUAGUGCUGCUCAGUGAGCCAAUUUAUACACAUGCAACUGGCCACAGUCAUAGAAACAAUAGCCAAGUUUGGGGUUUUUUUGUGUUUUUUUUUUAACUGGCCAGCGUAGCUCAGGGCAAACACUGAAAUCACACCAAUCCUCCACAUCUCUUAACCUCUACCUUGCUCAAAUCCAUUUCCUCCGUUAAAGGAGGGCUCUGCUCCUGAACCUUAUUGCCACGGCUUGGCCUCCUGGCUGCGCCCUGGGACGGCUGCCGUGCCACCGCUUGUGAUGUCAGACAUGGGACGUGAUGUCAUUGUGGCAGUUACACUUCCCCCCGCUCUGAGAACAGCUGUGGCAGUUGUACAUCCCCCUCUCCUUCAAUGGGGCAUUUAAUGGCUCUUUUGUGGGACCCGGAGUCAGUUGGACAGGGUCAUUAGCAGAGGAGGAGGGGCCCAGAGAAGCUUCUGGAAUGCCCGCAGCCAGAUCUGAUCAGACUGUAAAACUGCGUUCCUGCCGAAGAUUCCCUUUGUGUGGUCUUCUCGGAGCAGUGGGUCUGCUGAGCCAGAGCCCUCCCCUUAGACUGGGAUGCCAUCUAAGGAAACUUCCUGGGAUUGGAAGCUCCUCACCUCCUCAUUUGGGUGAGUGACAAUUUAAGUCCUUGCCGAACCAGGCAAGUGUGGUAUUCUGGAGUCAGACGGUUCUGGCUUUGUUUCUUGUGAGUGUGUGCAUGCACACUUUGGGUCCUCAUUAUUUUCAUUUGCCGCACCCCAAUAAUCUCCUCCACUGUCAUCCAAACCUUUAUCUUACGUUACCGGAGUGCUAAUUAAUUGUAUAAACCCUGUUCUGGUCAAUUUAUCAGCUGUACUUUUCCAGCCAGAAUAAAGUCUGGUUUGGAACUUGUUUUGCCGCCUGACUUUGGGGUCCCUCUGUGACAGUCAUCUAGGGAGCGAACCACUUUCCGAAAAGAAAAUGGUUGUUUCCACUGACGCAGUAUUGCUGUAAGAAACAGUGUUUCCUGGGAUUUAGUAUUUUCAAAGAUAGACCAGUCAAAAUUUUGAACCCUUAACUCCAUCUCUGAGUCUUAACAUCUGGAAAAGAUGCCACAGUUUUAAUGACAUUUCUCCUCCCCUAUGGUUAAUGUAGCAGAAGUACUUAUAUUCCCAAUUUUUGUCUGAGCAGUUCCCUGGUGAUGACAACAGGACAGGAGAAGGCGACACUGGACGAGGGUGUUUGUCUCAGCAGAGAACAUCACCCCCAGCUUUGUGUGGGUGGCACCCCCAGGGUGGCGUGAGAAAAGUGACAUUGAUAACUGCAUUUAACCAAUCUGCAAGGCUGGGAAUUAGUGUUUCAUCACUUAUCACCAGCAGCUGACGUACUUGAACAGCACAGGUGGUUUCACCACGUCUCAGGGACACAAAGGUAACCAAAGUUUUCUGCUAAAGAGACAGAAAAGUUACACAGUGGGGACAUUAACUAUGGUAUCAGGCCCUUCUGAAACAACAUGAAUCAUUGUUACAUAACUAAGGUAAAAUCUGGAUGUUUUAUAAUUAAUCCCUCUUAAAGUGAAGGGACAAACCAAUUUUGUUUUUUUAAGAUUUCACACAUUUUCCAGAUAUUUUUUAGCUUCAUCCCCAAAAUGGUCGUUUUUCUCCUCUCUUCCUUUUUCUAAAUUGUGACUUAAACUCUCAGAAUACAGGGGAAAAAAGACCAUUCCUGGAGAGUUUUUCGCAUGACUGACCUUACAAGAAAAACAUACAGGUGUUCUGCUUUACAAUAGUCAUCCCAAAACUCCAGUGUAUAAUAGAAUCUGUAGGAUGACACUACAACAUUAUCAUGCUACAAAUCUCCUGGAAGGUCUUUUCCAAGCAGAUUUCUCAAACUCAAAUAUUUCUUGUCUGUAUUUUACAUAUGUGUUUUUACAGAUAUACUCCCAAUAACUGCCCUAUAUGCUUGUGAUAUUGCAUUGUUUUUAGUGAUUAGCAUGCUAAAUUCAGGAAAUAAAACUGUCACCAUUAUUGUCACUUUUGUUAAUUGAAUAAAACCUCUGAUGUUUUCCAGGUCUGUAUAAACCUGACUUUGUCCCAUUAUGAGCUCAUUCUCAGAUUAAACACAGUUCGUGACACUUUAAUAUGUUAACUCUGCUUCAUGAUAUUUCCAACCAAUGUUUAAUUUCUUCUUUAAUAGACCAGAGACUCUAUGUCCACACAAGUCUUUAAUAAAAAGAGUUUUCAAAUUCUAAAGACACUACCUUGACCUUUACUGAAAUCAAAAGUACAGAGAAAAUUAGGAUAUUCAUUCCAAAAAGUCCUUUUCAAAGUGAAAUUUCCCUCAAUAAAAGGUGAAACUUUAUUAUCCAUAAAAUUAAUACUGUGUCUAUCAAAUUUGCUCUUGCACAUUGUUUCAGCAGAACCUGUUUAGAUCGGAAGUAACACAAUUCAUACUUAACUACCUUUCUCUGCAGUUAAUUUGAUAAUGCUGAGAAACAAUACCAUGAAGUUAAAAAAGAACAUCAUGAACAACUAAAUUAUUUCCUGCAGUGGAAUGACUUCAUUUUCUAUGGUCCAUUCAUGAUUACUGUCCUACUGGUAAAGAAUAAUUUUGUGAUUUACUGAAAAAAGAUAAAGAUGUGAUGGAUUUAUAUAAAGAACU